UCCAGCACUCACGGGGAAGGUCCAUGACGGAGUCCGCAGAGCCCCUCAGGGUCCGUCUCCCGGCCGUUAAUUGGAAACGGAGCUCUUUUGUGGAUCUCAUGUCCACUUAUCCGGCUGUCUUCUAUAAAAACCAGAGUCAGAUCAAAGGUGAAGAUGCUCACUGAAAGGCCACAGUCCAGACAAGAAGAAGAAAAGAAAAGAAGCAAACAUUAGCUGACCCUGGAUGUUUCCUGGAAUUGGCGUUUUUCAUGAAAAGCCCUGUGAGAAUCAGGUUUGGACUUGAACAGGAGUCGUUUCAGUUAUUUCUUAAAACUGGGCCCAGUGGUUCCAAGAACCCAAGAUAAGAGUCACAUGGUCCCAAGUUCUGAUCCUGCAGCAACAGGAGGGCCACACAGAACCUCAGCUCCAUCUGACUGAACUACUGUUCUGCUGAGUUCUGGUGACCGGGUCCAGAAAGUGUCAGCAUCGCUUUAAAAAUGGACCUGAUUAAUUUAUUUCUUGGUGAAUUGAGUUUUUUUUUUUCUGGAUUCUCCAAAUUUCAGUCAUUAUAAAAUGUUGCUGUUUGUGGACAGAGUAAAGCAUCCUUUGACCUUCCAUUAGAUUUGAAAAUUAUUAUUUUUUUAAAGGUAAUAAUUGAAAUCUCAUGAAAACCAGUCCAAAAAUGCAAGAAACAAAAUUCAGACACGUUUCUUUUAUCAUUUUCUAAAUCUUUGUAAACACAUUUUAACAGCUCCCAACUACGACAUAACGUAUUUGACAGCCAAACUGACAAUUGGCCAACGAUGGUGAUGAGACGUUUGUGAUGGAGAACAUUAACUAGUUUGAUGUUUUUCCACUGAUUUAUGCUGGGAUUGGUUAAGUAAAACAUGCAGAUCAAAGUGUUUUGUUUACAUUGAGUGUGGACCGACAUUUCAGGAAUGCAUGUCAAUAAAUAUGGAACUCUACUGGAGUAAAGUCCAA